AUUGGAGGGCAGGCGAGUGGUUUCCCUGGCUGUUAGAGCCUGUAGAGAUCACCCUGUUCCUUUCACAUGCUGCCCUGGCUGCUGGGAGCUGUGGAACUUCCCAUAAUCGGUCCUUUUGAAAACUUCCCACUGGCCAUAUCGAACAAGCAUCUGUACCCACAAUAAGAGUGAGUUGCCUGCAUUUGCCAUCUUGUCUCAACUAACACCGCCUACAGAAGCUGACAAUGACUGUUGGGCUUUUCCAGUGGAUGCCGGAACCGAUUUCUUGCAGCCUGGGGGGGGGGGGGGGGCCCCCAGAAUAACUGGCAGCAGGAGGAGCAGAGAGAGGAGGCAACUUGGCCAAGGUCAGGUAGCAAGUGAGGAAAAGGCCCCUCUCCUGUGGGGUCUGGGUUCGUUGCCGACUGGGCCUGCACUGAAGACAGCCAAGUGAGGACAGCCCAUCAUCCUGGAGCUGCUGCCGCAAAUCCAAAUUAACCAGAGGAAGACAGCAGGCAGCACCAGGGAGGAUGAGCACCCAAGGGCCGGCCAUGCACCCUCCAUGUCCAGAAGGUAAUAGACACCUGCUUCCUUGUCUCUUUGUACCUGCCCCCUGGCCCCCGUUUUCCUCUCUUGAGUCCUCCCCAGGUGUGGGGACAGGAGCACAGCCCUGGGAUUGGCAGGGACAAGGGGAGGAGACUGUGCUUUUCUGGUAGCCAGCCUUGCUCAUCGAUUCCCUAGAGCUGCUCACUGAUCCAGCACAAGAUGGUUUAAUUGAAGUCAUUACAAUAAAUGGUGCAGAAAAGCAACACCCUUAGUCUGCCAGGAGCCUCAGAGAAGCAGGGGAGGGCACUGGGAAACCCAGCGGAAGCAGCUGAAGUUAGCUCACAGUUGCUGUGGUGGAAAAGGGACUGGGCUGAGAAAGCAGGUAGUCCUGGGUUCAAAUCCUGACUGGGUCGCUAGCAAGCUGUGCACCCUUAGUAAAGUUACUUUAUCUUCCUGAGCUGCUGUGUUCCUGUCUCCAGGAAGCCUUCCCUCCUUCAUCCCCCAUUUCUCCUUCCCCCACACACCGUUAGCACUUGCUAACUUUGACACUGAUUUGGCUUCCAGCACUCUCUGUCUGCUUAGCAAUCUUUUCCCUCCGUAGUUUGUCUUCUCAUCUAGAUAACAAGCAGGAACUGUAUCUUCUCUUUCUCACCCUUAUGUGCCUAUCACAUGCCUAACAUUGUCAUUGUACCCAGCGGGGUGGGGGAGUGGAGGGGAGUGGCAAGGUGGAGUGAGGGGCAGAGAUUCAGAACCCGGGGGUGGGCACAGAAAGAAUGCAGCAGGGGCUGGUAGAUGACAAUCUACCCUGAGCUCCCUUCCCAGAUAAUUGGAACGAUGCAGCCAUUAUAUUCGUACACCUUUAGCAUGAGACACAGCCCCCUCUGUGCCCAGGCCCAGCUGGCUCUCUGCUCGGCAUCAUGAACUACUAUCUCAUUCAGUAGCAGAGGACAGAGGAUCCAGGUCAUGAAAUCAUCAAAUUCUAGCAUCAAAAGACAAAAUCAUGCAGCAAAAGUGAUAUCUUGGUACUUCCAAGUCUAAAUCCUAAGGAGCCUUGCAGCUUCCACGUGGGGUGUCUUGGAACACCUGAUCUUGGAAUGUUCCCUCUCAGAACUCAGACAUCACACCAUGAGAAGCCCAAACCACGUGGAGAAGCCAGGUCGAGGUACUCCAUUUGCCAGGGCCAGCCGAGUUCCCAGCUCACAGCAUCAACUGCGAGCCCUGAGAGUGCGCCAUCUUGGACAUCCAGCCCCAUGGAGCCUGCAGGUGACUCCAGCUCUAACCACGACCUGAUGCAACCACUUGAGAAAUCCCAAGAAAGAAUCUCCCAGAUGAGCCCAGUCAACCCGUGGAACUGUAAGAAAUAACAACAAAUUCUUAUUUUAUGCUUCUAAAAAUAUAUUUGUAAAUAAAUCUUACAGAACUGUCAUUUUACUAGAGCUCAGAGAUUCCGUGUGAUGUAUCCAAGGUCGCACAAUGAGGCAGAGCCCGGUGCGUUUAACUGUGGCCACCCUAUCGCCACCACCAGAGAAGACAAAGAGAAGUGAGCCAUCCAGGGCAGGAGUGAAGAGGGAGAGAGGAAGAGAGCUGGAUUUUAUAGAAAAUGUCCCAAGUUAAUUCUGUUUAGGAAAAAAAUUAUUCCUUGAAUGUG